UAUGCAUAUGUAUAUCACCCCUUAACAACAUAGUAUGUUGAAAAACGACAUUAUGACAAAGAGUUUUGCCUUAAUAUUUUUUAUGGUCCUUUUGAUUUGUAUAUCUGGCAAACCAUCAUCAGUUGAAGCAAGAGGACCCUUUGAGUGUCCUCGCAUGAUUGAUUGCACAAAAGUCUGCCAAGGAUAUCCCUCCUGCUGCGUUAACGGUCAAUGCAUUUGUGAAGCUUGUCAUUCUAAGAAUAAUGAAUUCAUCAUUGACACCAACUCUCAAUUAAACUAGAACGAUGCUAUGUAAUUUAUAAUAUUCCAUUCAAUAAAAAUGACUUUGAUAUGCAA